rnacentral:misc_RNA from 1 species
AUUUAUAGCCAUUGUCGACUGCCUACAACUAACCCCAUUUCAGUAAUCCCAUUCAAUUAUCAAUACAUACAAAGGAACUAAUGAAACAACAUAUGUAAACUGCAUGUACUGAAUUAUAUUAAGCGCCAUCGUGAUUCCAAGUUAACAAUCUUCAUCAAUCACUUCAACAAAUACUGGUAAAAUUCGCAUUUGUCUUAUACUCAAAACCGAAAUUGAAAUGGUGAAAACAUCUUCCUACUCUUUAAGCACAAGUUCCAUAUUGAUAUAUAGUGAAUGCCAAAAAAUUUCCAAAUGGGAAUUUAAUUGCUAUAACUAAAACAUAAUAUGAACCGCAAGAAGCACCAAUUAUAUUCACUAUGAGGUUAUAUGAAU